AAGGCGCUUGAGAGAACUCGGGUGAAGGAACUAGGCAAAAUGGCACCGUAACUUCGGGAGAAGGUGCGCCGGUGAGGGUGAAGCAUUUACUGCGUAAGCCCAUGCCGGUCGAAGAUACCAGGCCGCUGCGACUGUUUAUUAAAAACACAGCACUCUGCAAACACGAAAGUGGACGUAUAGGGUGUGACGCCUGCCCGGUGCCGGAAGGUUAAUUGAUGGGGUUAGUUUUCGGACGAAGCUCUUGAUCGAAGCCCCGGUAAACGGCGGCCGUAACAAUAACGGUCCUAAGGUAGCGAAAUUCCUUGUCGGGUAAGUUCCGACCUGCACGAAUGGCGUAACGACUUCCCCGCUGUCUCCAACAUCGACUCAGCGAAAUUGAAUUGCCUGUCAAGAUGCAGGCUUCCCGCGGUUAGACGGAAAGACCCCGUGCACCUUUACUACAGCUUCGCACUGGCUUCAGGCACAACAUGUGCAGGAUAGGUGGUAGGCUUUGAACCAGAGACGCCAGUUUCUGGGGAGCCACCCUUGAGAUACCACUCUUGUUCUGCUUGAAGUCUAACCGCGGUCCGUUAUCCGGAUCCGGGACCCUGCGUGGUGGGUAGUUUGACUGGGGCGGUCUCCUCCCAAAUAGUAACGGAGGAGCACGAAGGUUAGCUAAUCACGGUCGGACAUCGUGAGGUUAGUGCAAUGGCAUAAGCUAGCUUAACUGCGAGACAGACACGUCGAGCAGGUACGAAAGUAGGUCAUAGUGAUCCGGUGGUUCUGUAUGGAAGGGCCAUCGCUCAACGGAUAAAAGGUACUCCGGGGAUAACAGGCUGAUACCGCCCAAGAGUUCAUAUCGACGGCGGUGUUUGGCACCUCGAUGUCGGCUCAUCACAUCCUGGGGCUGAAGUCGGUCCCAAGGGUAUGGCUGUUCGCCAUUUAAAGUGGUACGCGAGCUGGGUUUAGAACGUCGUGAGACAGUUCGGUCCCUAUCUGCCGUGGGUGUAGGAUACUUGAGAGGAGUUGCCCCUAGUACGAGAGGACCGGGGUGAACGAUCCACUGGUGGACCUGUUGUUGCGCCAGCAGCAGUGCAGGGUAGCUAUGAUCGGACAGGAUAACCGCUGAAGGCAUCUAAGCGGGAAGCCCCCCUCAAAACAAGGUAUCCCUGAGGACCGUGGUAGACCACCACGUCGAUAGGCCGGAGAUGUAAGUGCAGCAAUGCAUUCAGU
rnacentral:rRNA from 1 species